rnacentral:rRNA from 1 species
GAUGAACGCUGGCGGCGUGCCUAAUACAUGCAAAUCGAGCGAAUGGAUUAAGAGCUUGCUCUUAUGAAGUUAGCGGCGGACGGGUGAGUAACACGUGGGUAACCUGCCCAUAAGACUGGGAUAACUCCGGGAAACCGGGGCUAAUACCGGAUAAUAUUUUGAACUGCAUGGUUCAAAAUUGAAAGGCGGCUUCGGCUGUCACUUAUGGAUGGACCCGCGUCGCAUUAGCUAGUUGGUGAGGUAACGGCUCACAAAGGCAACGAUGCGUAGCCGAGCUGAGAGGGUGAUCGGCCACACUGGGAGUGAGACACGGCCCAGACUCCUACGGGAGGCAGAAGUAGGGAAUCUUCCGCAAUGGACGAAAGUCUGACGGAGCAACGCCGCGUGAGUGAUGAAGGCUUUCGGGUCGUAAAACUCUGUUGUUAGGGAAGAACAAGUGCUAGUUGAAUAAGCUGGCACCUUGACGGUACCUAACCAGAAAGCCACGGCUAACUACGUGCCAGCCGCCGCCGUAA